UAAUAAGUGUUUUAUGGCACUUUUUUAAAUCCAUAUCCACCUUGUGUGCAAUGUCAGUCGAUCUUCUUCAUGGAGAUCGACCAAAACAUCAACCUUUAUCUUUUAACUCUUUGUCUGAAAAAAUAUUAUGAAUAAACAAUUCAAAAUA
rnacentral:misc_RNA from 1 species